UGGGGAAUAUUGCACAAUGGGCGAAAGCCUGAUGCAGCGACGCCGCGUGAGCGAAGAAGUAUUUCGGUAUGUAAAGCUCUAUCAGCAGGGAAGAAAAUGACGGUACCUGACUAAGAAGCUCCGGCUAAAUACGUGCCAGCAGCCGCGGUAAUACGUAUGGAGCAAGCGUUAUCCGGAUUUACUGGGUGUAAAGGGAGCGUAGGCGGCAGGGCAAGCCUGAUGUGAAAACCCAGGGCUCAACCUUGGGACUGCAUUGGAAACUGUUCGGCUGGAGUGUCGGAGAGGCAAGCGGAAUUCCUAGUGUAGCGGUGAAAUGCGUAGAUAUUAGGAGGAACACCAGUGGCGAAGGCGGCUUGCUGGACGAUUACUGACGCUGAGGCUCGAAAGCGUGGGGAGCAAACAGG
rnacentral:rRNA from 1 species